GGUCCUGUAGCUCAUAUGGAUGAGCGUUGCCUCUGGGUUGCGAGGUUGCUGGUUCGAACCCCAGCCAGGACUC